UAAAAAUUGUGAGGUUAAAUCUAUUGGCAUUUGACUAUUCUUUCUUCCUUUGAUUUUAUGCUUAGAAAGGUCUCUGUCAAUCUAAGAGGAGAGAAGCGUGAUUUUACAAUUUCUUCUAAUGGUUUUCUUCCUUCUUUAUAUUGAACUCCCAAGUCCAUUUGGAAUCUGUCUUCUUAUUGCGCAUAUAGGAAUUCAAGUCAAAGACCUUCUGAACUGUUUACUAAUGUUCUCAGCAUUCUCCAGUGCUUUUUAAAUGCCAUAAAUUAGAUAUUUUAGAUAUUAACAUAUCUUUGUGUCUCUGUCAGAGUAUAUUUCUAUUUUAAUUCUAUCCCAUUAUUUAAUUUUUUUCAAUCCCUGCACCAGAAGCUGGAAGCAUAGCUUUUGUGUGUGUGUCUCCUUUAGCCCUUGCACAGGGCUGGUUGUGUUAUGGGUGCUCAACAAAUAUUUGCUGGAUGAAUUUAUGAUUGAAAAUUAGAACACGGGAAGGACACGGAGGGCAAGUGUUAUAAGAUGCUGAUGAGGACAGUGUUGGAAUGGCUGACAGUGACCUUGAAAAAAGAGAAACUAGUACCUGGCUCAGUGCCUGUCACAUAGUAGGCACUCAAUAAAACAUUUAAGAUGUGAAAAGAGUACGAAUGAAAUUUCUCCAACUGAAUUAUUCCCUGUCUACUAUUGCUCUAAACCACCUAAAAACUCUUAGCCAGCCCCAUCCUUCACUUUUCUCUUUUUUUUAUUUUUUUAAGACAGAGUCUCACUCAGUCACCCAUGCUGGAGUGCAGUGGGGCUAUCUCGGACACUUGUAGCCUCCGCUUCCUGAGUUCAAGUGAUUCUCAUGCCUCAGCCUCCUGAAUAGCUGGAAUUAUAGGCAUGCACCACUGUGCCUGGCUAAUUCACCCUUCACUUUUGAUGUGGACUCUGCCCUGUCUGCCUGACAACAAACAGCACUUCUCAGAAACUCAGAUCUUUGCUGAUCUGGCAACCAGACAGGGUCUUGCUGUGUUGCCCAGGCUGGACUCAAAUUCCUGGACUCAAGCAAUCCUCCCACCUUGGCCUCCCAAAGUGCUGAGAUGACAGCAAGAAGGUCCUUGCCAGGUGUUAGCUCCUUGACUGUGGACUUCCCAGCCUCCAGAACUGUAAGAAGGACACACAACUGUCGACCCGGCUACUCAGGAAGUUGAAGCAGGAGGAUCCCUUGAGCGCAAGACUUGAAAGCUGCGGAAAAGAAGCCAGGCGCAGUGGCUCACUCCUGUAAUCCCAGCACUUUGGGAGGCCCAGGUGGGAGAUCCUUUGAAGCAAAGAGUUCAAGCCCUCCUUUGGCUCCAUUGCCUUCCUACCCAACCCGACGUCCAAGGUCUUUAAAGAGGAAAUUGAGUUAAAAUGAAAUCAUAAGGGCAGGGCCUCAGCCAAUAUGAUUGCUGUCCUUAUGAGAAGAGAUUAGGACCCAGACACACAGAGGUAAUACCAUGUGAAGAUAAAAGGAGGAGACGGUCACCUACAAGCCAUGGAGAGAGGCCUCAGUAAAAUCCAGCCCUGCUGACACCCUGACCUCGGACUUCUAGCCUUCAGAAAGGAAUCUGUGACUGGGCACGGUACCAGCUCCACAGACAAACUCGUGGAAAUGCGUUCGGCCCUCCUGGGGAAACAUCUCUCCUGUUGUGAUUCGCUUUGCUGGCUGCAUCAUUUGUCAAGGUGUCAUGAGCUCCAGGCCCUGGGAACCAGCUGCACGCAGAGGAAGGCAAGUUGGCAGGGGCGGGGGGGCUGCCCAAGUGGGACCUCAGGGACCAGUGUGGGCUCCUGCAUGCAGAGGUUUCUGAGCCAGCCACCUGUUGCCAGAGAGCUGAACUUGACUUUCUUCCAUAGCAAAGGGCCUCUGAGCCUCCCAGCUCCGGGCCCCCCCCAUAGCCUCUGCUACAAUACAGUUCCAUCAAUUCACAAUGCAAAACAAUUUCAACUGAAUGGGGGCAAAAUCUGAAUGAGGGUGCAGUGCCUCUCUGAUGAGUUGCUUUCUUUCUGCAGCCUUUGCCUGUCCUGGGCUCCCGUGUUGCCCCCUGCUACUGGCACACUGCUCUCUGACACCAUGCAUGGACCAGCUGUGCCCAGAAGCCUCCACCUCUCUCCUCCACAAUGCUCAAAUGUACACCCACAGUUCUGCCCUUCCCUGAGUGUGUAUACAGACUCACACGUAUAAGAGUCCACCUGUUCUGUCAUCCAUCAGAAGUGGCAUUGAGCCCCUCCUUCACCCCGAGUUCCAAUGUCAGUGACAGACACCACCCUUAGGCCAGAAAUCCAGGAGGAAGCCCUGACCCUUCACCCCUUUAUAGCCCACCCAAACUGUCAACUCUCCCUCCAAAAUACAUCCCAAUCCAUCCCAUCCCCUCUUCCUCCUUGACCACCCCAAUCCAAGCCAUCAUGAUCUCCCACACAGACUAUUGCAAAAAGCUCUACCCGUUUUCGCUAUUUCUACUCCGGUAGCCUACAAUGUCUUCUCUAAGAGCAGCUGGUAAAAUUGUUUAAAAUGUACAUAUGGUUGAAGGGCAGUAGCACAUGCCUGUCAUCCCAGCACUUUGGGAGGCUGAGGUGGGAGGAUCUCUUGAGGCUAGGAGUUCGAGACCAGCCUGGACAAUAUAGCAAGACCUCUAUCUCUACAAAAAUUAAAAAUUAGCCAAGCGUGAUGGUGUGCACCUUUUUUAUAGCUACUCAGGAGGCUGAGUUGUGAGGAUGGCUUGAGCCCAGGUGUUUGAGGCUGCAGAGAGUAGAUUGUGCCACUGCACUAAAGCCUGGAGAACACAGUAAGACCCUGUCUCAAAAAAAAAUGUAUAUAUAUAUAUAUACAUACACACACACACACACACGUGUAUGUGUAAUGUGUAUACAUAUGUAUGUAUAUGUAUGUGCAUACGGUAUAAUAUACACAUACAUGUGAUUAUACCAUUUUCCAAUGGCUUCCUGUGAUGUUAGAAUGAAAUCCACACUCCCAGAAGGACCUGCAGGCUCCUGGAUCUGGCUUUCACCUUCCUCUUAGAUUUCAGAUUGCACUAUGGCUAUUCCGCUUUCCAUUCCCUCUGCUCCAGCCACCCUGACCCUCUGUCUCUUCCUCAGAAACACCAAGCCCACUCCCUCCUCUGGCUCUGGUAACUACUGGUCCCUCUACCUAGAAACUUCUCCCCAAGAGAAGUUCUCUUGGCAGCUCCUUCUCCAUGGUUAUGGCUCAAAGCAAAUGCUAUCUCCCCUGUAAACCACAAGUGACCGAGGCAAGUCUCGGUGGAUUUAAAGGUUGAAUUUGCCAUGGUUGAGGAUGCACCUGGGAAAAUGAAACAGGAUUUACAAUCAGAUCUGUGCCCUUUGCUUUUUCC